UUUUCUGCUGCUGUGCGGAGUGCAGAGCCAACAAUCUUGGCUCGAAUCAAAGCAAGAAAAGCGGUUCUUGGCGAUUUUUCAUUUGCGAAUCCUGAAGACCCAAAAUCUGGAAAACUUGCAAGUUUGCUAGGCAGGCGCAUUGUGACUUUCAGAUUCGAAGGAAGAGAAGCCAUCUUCAUCAGAAGAAGCAAGAAAUGUCGGCACUGUUCAAUUUCCAUUCGUUUCUGACAGUUGUGCUGCUGGGGAUUUGUACAUGCACUUUUGUGAAGAUGCACUUUCCAGCAAUCCUUGAACAGAGAAAUGGAUUUCGUGGUUUCUUUUGGAAAGCAGCCAGAAUUGGUGAACGCUUGAGCCCCUGGGUUGCCGUAGGAUGCUUCACAAUGGGCGUGUCGAUAAUUUUUUUCUGAGAUAGAAAUUUGUUGUCUCUGUAUGUGGAAGUAAGCUCCAUCAUUCUUUCCUGUGGGUAAAUAUGUCACCCAUGUGAUGAAAUGGUGUCAUAAAAUUGAAUUGAUAACACUGUUUGGCAUCAUUUUAUGAACUUGUUUUCAUGGCAUUUUUUGGCAAACAUGUUUAUAGAUGGUGCAUUCUCUUUCAUUACCUGAUUGAUCACCAGAUUCCAAAGGAUUCUCUGCUGGAAUUAGCUAUAGAAAAGCAUCAGUGUAUAGCAUAUCACCUCGGGCUCUUUCUUUUGUUUUGUCGACAUUAUGCCUUGCCUAAGCAGGAGGAGGGGAUUGGAGAAAGUGACUUCACCUGAAAAUUUUAUCUUCUGAUGCUGUUAGGUAUAUGAUAGCUCAUGUAUGUUAGCCAAACGUAUUCUGAGAUUUUCUCUCACUGAACCAUGUUGGUGCAUGGAUUUUCUUUCUUUUCCAGUUUUUUUUUUUUCAUUUAGACAUCAACGAUUGACAGAGAGUCUGCUAGUAAUGAAUAGAGGAACCCUGUUUUCUGCCUUUUUUGAGAAAUUAGAAAUUCUGUAUUCAUAUAUGUAACUUGUUGCAUGCAUGUUAUAUAUUUUAUGCGAACAGUACAGUUUUGAAGAAGACAAAACAGAAAAUGCUGGAUUUAAAUAGAAAUUCGUGCUGUAGGGGGCUUGAAGCUGAUGGGCAUACAAGCUAUGAUAUAAACCUGGAGCUUAUGCAUAAAUUUCCUCAAUAGUAGAACCUUUCCUUCGCCCCGGUGAAUUACUGCUAAGAACACCCUUCUAUUGCUGUGGUCUUCAAAACGAAGGCUUCUCCUUGUUUUCGUCACCUGGAGCUUAUGCUUAAAUUUCCUCAAUAAUAGAACCUUUCCUUCACCCCAGUGAAUCACUGCUAAGAACAUCCUCCUGAUGGGUUUCUUCUCAGUAUCCUUGUUUGUGGCGCUGACCUUCUCUUCAUUGGUUUUCUCAUCUCCUGCUCCAAAAUGAAGAGGAUAGCUUCUCAAGAACACCCUUCUAUUGUAGUAGUCUUCA